rnacentral:lncRNA from 1 species
CCGGACGGGCUGACCCUUUGACCCGAAGAUGGACACCGGGGGCCCCGAGGCGACCCUGGAGGACGAGCUGGCCCUGGCCGUGCAGCGCGCCUUGAGGUCCGCCGUCGACGCCCUGGUGACCGACAUCUCCCGCCUCGUGCGCCGCCGGCUGUCCGAGCGCGAGCGGGAGAUCGAGCGGCUGCGGGAGCAGCUGGACGCCUCGGCCGGCCGGCCCAAGGCCCCCGAGGGGGCGGCCCUGCGGAGGGAGCCCGGGGCGGCCUCUCCCCGCGGCGCGGCCGGCCGGCCCACGGGAGACCCGAUGCAGGAAAUCCACAAGAAGUUCCAGUGCCCGCUGGUCCUGGUGCCCGAGGAGGUGGCCCGCGACCACGAGGAGUUGUUCUUCCGCCUGAGCGACAGCGUGAGCAGCGACACCUCCUGCAUCUGCGGGCUGGAGAGGAUGGACGCCGUGGUGGAGGGCGCAGAAAAGGCGAGGCCUGAUAAUCUUCCCGACCGUGCCCAGAUGGAGAUCUCGCCAGCGCUGCAGGACGCCCCUGGGGUGUCUGGGGUGUCCUCGCCGAGGGGUGAGGCCAGUCACGCGGCCGUUCGCCGGGAGCCUGCACCGCUGGGAGCAGGCCGUCGCCAGGCUAAGGGGGCUCGGGCCGGUUCCGAUCCGGCCCGCGUCAAGCAGGAGGAUUCGGAGCUGGCCGUGACGCUCUUCCCCCAGGGCGCGGACGGCGCCGGGCAAGACGGGCUCAAGCUGGAGAGUCUGGACGUGGACAUCACCGAGCUCCAUUCGGUCAGCUUCGUCAGGGUGCUCCCCCAGCCGGGCGCCGUGCAGGUCAAAGAGGAGGAGCCCGCGGGGCCCGGCCAGGAGAAGGGCGACAGCAGGCCCGCGGGGGGGGCGCAGCACCCGCCCCCAGGCGGCGGCGGCGGGCAGGAAGGGGCCGC